rnacentral:rRNA from 1 species
UACGGAGGGAGCUAGCGUUGUUCGGAAUUACUGGGCGUAAAGCGCGCGUAGGCGGCUUUUUAAGUCAGGGGUGAAAUCCCGGGGCUCAACCUCGGAACUGCCCUUGAAACUGGAGAGCUAGAAUCCUGGAGAGGUUAGUGGAAUUCCGAGUGUAGAGGUGAAAUUCGUAGAUAUUCGGAAGAACACCAGUGGCGAAGGCGACUAACUGGACAGGUAUUGACGCUGAGGUGCGAAAGCGUGGGGAGCAAACAGGAUUAGAUACCCCCGUAGUCC